GGAAUCUUGAACAAUGGGCGCAAGCCUGAUCCAGCCAUGCCGCGUGAGUGAUGAAGGCCUUAGGGUUGUAAAGCUCUUUCAGCGGGGAAGAUAAUGACGGUACCCGCAGAAGAAGCCCCGGCUAACUUCGCGCCAGCAGCCGCGGUAAUACGAAGGGGGCUAGCGUUGCUCGGAAUCACUGGGCGUAAAGCGCACGUAGGCGGAUCUUUAAGUCAGGGGUGAAAUCCUGGAGCUCAACUCCAGAACUGCCUUUGAUACUGGGGAUCUCGAGUCCGGGAGAGGUGAGUGGAACUCCGAGUGUAGAGGUGAAAUUCGUAGAUAUUCGGAAGAACACCAGUGGCGAAGGCGGCUCACUGGCCCGGUACUGACGCUGAGGUGCGAAAGCGUGGGGAGCAAA
rnacentral:rRNA from 1 species